ACGGAAGGCAGCAGUGAGGAAUAUUGGUCAAUGGGCGAGAGCCUGAACCAGCCAAGUAGCGUGAAGGAUGACUGCCCUACGGGUUGUAAACUUCUUUUAUACGGGAAUAAAAAGGCCACGCGUGGCCUCUUGCAUGUACCGUAUGAAUAAGCAUCGGCUAAUUCCGUGCCAGCAGCCGCGGUAAUACGGAAGAUGCGAGCGUUAUCCGGAUUUAUUGGGUUUAAAGGGAGCGUAGGCGGGUCUUUAAGUCAGUGGUCAAAGCGUGUGGCUCAACCAUACCACGCCAUUGAUACUGGGGACCUUGAGUGCACAUAAGGAUGGUGGAAUUCGUCGUGUAGCGGUGAAAUGCUUAGAUAUGACGAAGAACUCCGAUUGCGAAGGCAGCUGUCCGGGGUGUAACUGACGCUAAUGCUCGAAAGUGCGGGUAUCAAACAGGAUUAGAUACCCUGGUA
rnacentral:rRNA from 1 species